rnacentral:rRNA from 1 species
CCUACGGGAGGCUGCAGUGGGGAAUUUUGGACAAUGGGGGAAACCCUGAUCCAGCAAUGCCGCGUGUGUGAAGAAGGCCUUCGGGUUGUAAAGCACUUUUGGGAACCGUUCGGUACCCGCAGAAUAAGCACCGGCUAACUACGUGCCAGCAGCCGCGGUAAUACGUAGGGUGCAAGCGUUAAUCGGAAUUACUGGGCGUAAAGCGUGCGCAGGCGGUUUUGUAAGACGGAUGUGAAAUCCCCGGGCUCAACCUGGGAACUGCAUUCGUGACUGCAAGGCUAGAGUGUGUCAGAGGGAGGUGGAAUUCCGCGUGUAGCAGUGAAAUGCGUAGAGAUGCGGAGGAACACCGAUGGCGAAGGCAGCCUCCUGGGAUAAACUGACGCUCAUGCACGAAAGCGUGGGGAGCAAACAGGAUUAGAUACCCUAGUAGUC